rnacentral:tRNA from 1 species
GCUGCCUUAGCUCAGCUCGGGAGAGCACUCGGCUGAAGACCGAGGUGUCCAGGGUUCAAAUCCCUGAGGCGGCA